rnacentral:rRNA from 1 species
UACGUAGGGGGCAAGCGUUGUCCGGAUUUAUUGGGCGUAAAGAGCGUGUAGGCGGCCUGGAAGGUCAGCUGUGAAAACUCGAGGCUCAACCUCGAGACGUCGGUUGAAACCACCUGGCUAGAGUCCGGAAGAGGAGAGUGGAAUUCCCGGUGUAGCGGUGAAAUGCGCAGAUAUCGGGAAGAACAUCCGUGGCGAAGGCGGCUCUCUGGGACGGUACUGACGCUGAGACGCGAAAGCGUGGGGAGCGAACAGG